GACGAACGCUGGCGGCGUGCUUAACACAUGCAAGUCGAACGGAAAGGCCCUGCUUUUGUGGGGUGCUCGAGUGGCGAACGGGUGAGUAACACGUGAGUAACCUGCCAUUGACUUUGGGAUAACUUCAGGAAACUGGGGCUAAUACCGGAUAGGAGCUCCUGCUGCAUGGUGGGGGUUGGAAAGUUUCGGCGGUUGGGGAUGGACUCGCGGCUUAUCAGCUUGUUGGUGGGGUAGUGUCUUACCAAGGCUUUGACGGGUAGCCGGCCUGAGAGGGUGACCGGCCACAUUGGGACUGAGAUACGGCCCAGCCUCCUCCGGGAGGCAGCAGUGGGGAAUAGUGCACAAUGGGCGGAAGCCUGAUGCAGCAACGCCGCGUGCGGUAUGACGGCCUUCGGGUUGUAAACCGCUUUCGCCUGUGACGAAGCGUGAGUGACGGUAAUGGGUAAAGAAGCACCGGCUAACUACGUG
rnacentral:rRNA from 1 species